AUUGAACGCUGGCGGCAUGCCUUACACAUGCAAGUCGAACGGUAACGGGCCUUCGGGUGCCGACGAGUGGCGAACGGGUGAGUAAUACAUCGGAACGUGCCCGAUCGUGGGGGAUAACGAGGCGAAAGCUUUGCUAAUACCGCAUACGAUCUACGGAUGAAGGCAGGGGACCGCAAGGCCUUGCGCGGACGGAGCGGCCGAUGGCAGAUUAGGUAGUUGGUGGGAUAAAAGCUUACCAAGCCGACGAUCUGUAGCUGGUCUGAGAGGAUGAUCAGCCACACUGGGACUGAGACACGGCCCAGACUCCUACGGGAGGCAGCAGUGGGGAAUUUUGGACAAUGGGCGCAAGCCUGAUCCAGCCAUGCCGCGUGCAGGAUGAAGGCCUUCGGGUUGUAAAAUGCUUUUGUACGGAACGAAAAGCCUUCUUUUAAUACAGGAGGGUCAUGACGGUACCGUAAGAAUAAGCACCGGCUAACUACGUG
rnacentral:rRNA from 1 species